CCAUUGUUAGGCUGGCGUGAGGAGUACAUGUCAGUGAUUAGAGCGUACUCGUCGAGCUGUGAGUCACAGGCACAUCAUAUCCAUAACACCUGUGCACUUGUCGGAUGGCUUAGUGAAGACCGCAAGGUUGGAACUAUCCGUCUACUUUACAUAACAAUUCUGUAACAAAUGUAGUCUUAUUAUAACAUAAUAAAACUUUCAACAACGGAUCUCUUGGCUCUCGCAUCGAUGAAGAACGCAGCGAAAUGCGAUAAGUAAUGUGAAUUGCAGAAUUCAGUGAAUCAUCGAAUCUUUGAACGCACCUUGCGCUCCUUGGUAUUCCGAGGAGCAUGCCUGUUUGAGUGUCAUGAAAACCCUCAACCUUAGAUUGGUUAAAACCUUUCUUUGGCUUGGAUUUGGACGUUUGCCGAUGAUAAGUCGGCUCGUCUUAAAAGUAAUAGCUGGAUCUGUCUCGCGACAUGGUUUGACUUGGCGUAAUAAGUAUUUCGCUAAGGACAUCUUCGGAUGGCCGCGUUGCAAGACUAAAGACCGCUUUCUAAUCCAUUGAUCUUCGGAUUAAUAUUCUUGACAUCUGGCCUCAAAUCAGGUAGGACUACCCGCUGAACUUAAGCAUAUCAAUAAGCGGAGGAA
rnacentral:rRNA from 1 species